rnacentral:lncRNA from 1 species
CCUAACUCUGAGCUUUCUCCCUUAAGUUCCUGCAUUACAAGUUUCUGGGUUUGUAAAACUCUUCUGAGAUGACUUUGCUUCCUUACAGAGUGACACGGCUGUCAUGUGACAUCUUUGUAAGAAAAGCAUAUACUAGUCAGCAGAAGGACUGACGACCUUGAGCUUGUGGAGGUGAAGACUACAGCGGAAAAAAACCCCAUAAAACAGUAAACUAUUCCUUCAGGAUUUUCUUGUUCUGCACAGAACCCUUCAAAUUUCCGUGGAUUCAGAAAUAAAUGUAUGGCUAGCAGUCCAGUCCUAGGAGUACAUGACUCAACGUUGUCUGGAAACCUCUCCAUCCCAAGUCCAGACUCACUUACCUGACAGAGGAUGGUGCUAUCGAUGGAGCAAACUGUGUCUUCAUAGGAUCAAGCUUCUGACGAUGAAGAAGGUCUUGAGAAAGGAAGACCUUUUUGGUUGAGGCAGGGGAAAGAAGUCAAGCUCUCAGAAUUUCAGGAGUGGACAGAGGGAGGUUCUGUGUGGGAAGCUUGAGGGCUGUGGAAGGAGAACUCUGCAGGACAGGCAGGCAGUGCAGCAGAGACCACAGAGCUGCUAUAUCACCUUCUGCGCAUGCAGUCCAGUUUCAUAGGAUAAAUCUUUGAGAAAAAGAGACUUUAAAUCAGUAAUUAUCUACAAGGUCAUGUGAUCAGCUUGUGGUUUCCUUUUUAUUCAGCAGCAAAGGGAGCUAAGGACAUUGUAUCCGGGUCCAAAAGCAUAUUUGUUCACUGUAUAAUUUUGUAAGAAGCUCAUUUUAAGCAAAACACUGAAUGGUCAUAGAUUUAUGUCUGGCACUAUAGCUCAUUUGGUAGAGUACUUGCCCAGUAUCUGUGGGUUUGUCUUCAGUAUUCCAUAUACUGGCAUGGAGGCACAUACUUGCAUUUAUAGUUCACAGAAACAGGUUUAGAUACAUGAGGCCAAGUCUGAACAAAUAGCAACAAAACCUGAAGAUUUGUUAAUUUUUGAUAUCUAAAAUAUGCAAGUAUAUGUCUUUAAGAUUUUAAAUUCCAAUAAAACACCUCAAAUAUACAAAAUAAGGUGAAAUGUGCCUUGUUAUAAUUCAAUCACAGAGAACGUAGUAAUAUCAUAAAACUUUUUUUUUAAAUAAAAGAAACUAUUUCACUUUUUAAAAGGUUAAGAAUAGAAUGUGUUAG